UCGGAGGUGGCAACCGGAUGGUAGUGCACCAUCAGCUUGUAAACAAGAAGAGCCUGUCAUUAAGCUGCGCUGCAUACUGUGGUUAAGCAGAGGAGAAAUUUUGCUGCAACAGCUGGAACCAAGGCCUGAAAUUAAUCGCGAGAGGACCAGAAAGGCACGCUACCAGAAAGCUUUAUACCACGCCAGAACAGAGUGAUGAGACUGGAGCAUCUUCUGUGGGCAGCACACCCAAGCAUGUCUGAGCAACGGCAGGAGACACCAAUGUUCUCCGUACCCAACCGCAGAGAACAGCGUCAGUGGGCAUCCUAGGAGAGAUGCCCCAAGUCAAACUUCCCCCAGAGGCAGGAGUCCUUCCGUGCCCCUUUCGCCUUACUGGAGAUGGAGAAACCCUCUUCUGAUGGCGGGCGCUGCUCAUAGAAGCCACAGGCAACCCCAGAAUAAGAGUUUGGUUUCUGUAGAGACGAGCCUCGUGAUCAACAGAGACACGCUUUCUAAUUUGGGGUUUUGUGAUGUGGGUGGAUGCUGUAAGAUAAACCAGUUGCCAGGAAUUGUCAUCCCAGUGCUCACCUCCGCCACGGCGUUUACUGGCUAGGAAGACUGAAUGGCCAGAAGUGCUGAAAUCCUCAGUUUUGCAUCUGCAGAGCAAAUGGCUGCAAACCUUGUCCGUGCAGGCUUGCCUGCGCAGGGCCUGCGCCAGCUCGGUGCUGACACAGCUCCUGCCUGCACCUCUGCUGCAGCGUCUGUCUCCUUCCAGAUCGCCGUCCGAGCCGUGACCCACUUUGGUCCUGCUUUGAAGGAGAAGGAAGGCAGCAGGGACAUGGCGGGGACGGAUGCGGUUACGUCAGCAGGAGUUUUCUGCAGGCUGCGGUGUGGAAGUAUAGCCACCGAUCCUCAGAUUUCAUGCUGUAUCUGAAGCACGGAUAGCUUGGCGUGCCUGCUCUCUGCCUGACAAGAGGACGCAAUAAAAUAGCAGCCAAGCAUUUACCCGUCCCAGGACAUUCAGCUCUUUCCUGGCUCACCUCGGACGCGGCCGUUUUCGCAGCGUGACCGACACGUGCGCUCACGGACACAUCCAACGAGCU